rnacentral:piRNA from 1 species
CUUUUCUUCUGAUGAAUUCCAAU